GGGCCUAUAGCUCAGUUGGUUAGAGCACACGCCUGAUAAGCGUGAGGUCGGUGGUUCGAGUCCAUUUAGGCCCA
rnacentral:tRNA from 1 species